rnacentral:lncRNA from 1 species
CAAUUACCUCACCUCUCCUCACCUCCAAUCAUCUAUCUCCACAUUUCAGAUCACCUUGCCCUCUACCCCAUAAAUAUCCCUGAGUCCUCAUUUUUGGGAAAGCAGAUUUGAGACUCAUUCCCUUGCUUCCUGACCUGGCUGCCUUGUGAUUAAACCCUCUCUCUGCUGCAAUCUUGUCAUCUGGGUGUUUGGCUUUCUGGGUGGUGGGCAAAAACAAACUUAGUUUGGUAACAGCUUCACCUUUCCUGAGGGUCUGCCAUCCUGAGUGUGGAUGGCCUGGCUGGCCGGGUCCCUCUUCCAAGCAGGUAGUGUCAUGGAGCCUGACUCCAGGGCUCUCAGCAUGAGGAAAAUCACACUCUUUACUUUUCUGAAUGAAGAGCCACCAUCCCCCUCCUCCCCACCCACCAAGCCAGUGGUCAGCCAAGCUCAGACAUUGCUGGACCUCCCCUCUCCAUGGAUGUGCUAGAACCAUCUGGGGCUCUGGGUAAGGUGAGAGGUGGUCUGACCCCUAGUCUUUGGGAAUUGCCAUGGAGCUGGUGCUGAAGCAAACUGGGGGGACUUGAAUGAGGGGUCUGAGGGCCAGAAAAUUCAUGGAACUGGAGGAAUUGGGGCCAGAGGAUAUGGGAAGUGGGGGACUAGUCUUAGCACACAAAAUUGGGAUUCUCUGCCCAGUGCACAUAGACAAGCCAAUUAAUUGCAGCAUCAGCCUUUGGGAAAAGAGAGCAGCUUUAUUCUUAGAGAUUGGUCUGCAGGGAGAACAGGGUGCAUGUGCCCUCAGAUCUGUCUCCCCAGUUCAGGAUUUGGGGCAAAAUUUAAGAGGUUAGGGAGAAAAGGCUGCACGCGGAAAUGCUGGCGGGGCAGGCUUUGAUUGGUGGGCUUCAAGCAUUUAUGGUAAGGUUCUAAACUUUUAUGAUGAGGCAAGGAAGAAAUUUGAACACCGGAUCUUCCUGAAUGAGGUACCCUUCACUUCUGGUAAGAGUCUGACUUUCAAGUUCCAGUCAUUUCCUCGUCCUUGGGUUCUGUGGGAAGAAGGAUCUUUGGUUCUGUGGUCAUUUCAGGUCACAAUCUCUGCUUUUGUGCAUGCCUGGGCUGUGUGACUUCGCAGAUUUUCUGAAUGGCAAUUCUUAAUCACUCUGUUGAAAAGAGAUGAGACCAGAAGAUGAAUUCCAUCCCCUGGAGGUUCAAUUGAUUUUCCUCCCCUAGUUAUGGAAAAAGCCGGUUUUGUAUCCAUUUAUAAGUUAAUUUCAACAUUCCUUUAUUCCGCAUAGAUUUAUGAUUCUUAGACUUCUCCUCUGACGCAGUUAUAACAGUCCUGGAUCCCUUAUUAAUUAAUGAC